rnacentral:rRNA from 1 species
CCAAAGGGAGCUUGCUCCCGGAGAGUGUUACGGCGGCAGGGUGAGUAACACGUGGGCAACCUACCUGUAAGAUUGGGAUAACUUCGGGAAACCGGAGCUAAUACCGAAUAACAAUAAGAACCACAUGGUUCUUAUUUGAAAGAUGGCUUCGGCUAUCACUUACGGAUGGGCCCGCGGCGCAUUAGCUAGUUGGUGAGGUAACGGCUCACCAAGGCGACGAUGCGUAGCCGACCUGAGAGGGUGAUCGGCCACACUGGGACUGAGACACGGCCCAGACUCCUACGGGAGGCAGCAGUAGGGAAUCUUCCGCAAUGGACGAAAGUCUGACGGAGCAACGCCGCGUGAGUGAAGAAGGUUUUCGGAUCGUAAAACUCUGUUGUUAGGGAAGAACAAGUAUCGUUCGAAUAGGGCGGUACCUUGACGGUACCUAACCAGAAAGCCACGGCUAACUACGUGCCAGCAGCCGCGGUAAUACGUAGGUGGCAAGCGUUGUCCGGAAUUAUUGGGCGUAAAGCGCGCGCAGGCGGUUCCUUAAGUCUGAUGUGAAAGCCCACGGCUCAACCGUGGAGGGUCAUUGGAAACUGGGGAACUUGAGUGCAGAAGAGGAGAGUGGAAUUCCACGUGUAGCGGUGAAAUGCGUAGAGAUGUGGAGGAACACCAGUGGCGAAGGCGAUCUCUGGUCUGUAACUGACGCUAGGUGCGAAGCGUGGGAGCGACAGGAUAAUCCCUGGUUAUCCUCGUAAACAAAUUAUUUAGGUUCCCCUAUUGUGACCUUAACCCGCGGGGUCACCG